rnacentral:rRNA from 1 species
GCAGUCGAGCGCAGGAAGCGAGCUGAUCCCCUUCGGGGGUGACGCUCGUGGAAUGAGCGGCGGACGGGUGAGUAACACGUGGGCAACCUGCCUGUAAGAUCGGAAUAACUCCGGGAAACCGGAGCUAAUGCCGGGUAAUAUGUUCCUUCGCAUGAAGGAACAUUAAAAGAUGGCUUCUCGCUAUCACUUACAGAUGGGCCCGCGGCGCAUUAGCUAGUUGGUGAGGUAACGGCUCACCAAGGCAACGAUGCGUAGCCGACCUGAGAGGGUGAUCGGCCACACUGGGACUGAGACACGGCCCAGACUCCUACGGGAGGCAGCAGUAGGGAAUCUUCCGCAAUGGACGAAAGUCUGACGGAGCAACGCCGCGUGAACGAUGAAGGUCUUCGGAUCGUAAAGUUCUGUUGUUAGGGAAGAACAAGUACCGUGCGAAUAGAGCGGUACCUUGACGGUACCUAACGAGGAAGCCCCGGCUAACUACGUGCCAGCAGCCGCGGUAAUACGUAGGGGGCAAGCGUUGUCCGGAAUUAUUGGGCGUAAAGCGCGCGCAGGCGGUUCCUUAAGUCUGAUGUGAAAGGCCACGGCUCAACCGUGGAGGGCCAUUGGAAACUGGGGAACUUGAGGACAGAAGAGGAGAGUGGAAUUCCACGUGUAGCGGUGAAAUGCGUAGAUAUGUGGAGGAACACCAGUGGCGAAGGCGACUCUCUGGUCUGUUUCUG